rnacentral:rRNA from 1 species
UGCGUAGGCGGAAUGAUAAGUCAGUGGUGAAAUCCCCCGGCUCAACCGGGGAACUGCCAUUGAUACUGUCAUUCUUGAGUACAGUUGAGGUGGGUGGAAUGUAUCAUGUAGCGGUGAAAUGCAUAGAUAUGAUACAGAACACCGAUAGCGAAGGCAACUCACCAAACUGUAACUGACGCUGAGGCACGAAAGCGUGGGGAGCAAACAGGAUUAGAUACCCUAGUAGUCC